GGGCCCAUAGCUCAGUUGGUUAGAGCAGAGGACUCAUAAUCCU
rnacentral:tRNA from 1 species